AAUAUUUUGUUUCUGGAGCGGAGCAGUUGUUGAGUAGAGACGGGGAGUUUCUGGUGCGUGACUCCAGCUCCAGCACGGGCGAAUACGUCCUGAGCUGCAUGUGGAAAAAUCAGCCCAUGCACUUCAAAAUCAUACGUGUCGUGCUGCGACCCAAACAGGGUUACACCCGGGAGCUCUUUCAGUUUGAGAAAGAUCAGUUCGAUAACAUUCCAGCAUUAAUUCGCUUUCAUGUCGGCGGACGGCAUCCCAUCUCACAUUCCACCGGAGCUAUCAUCUUUCAGCCAAUCACGCGCACUCUGCCUCUACGCAUCGUCAGCGAGC